GGUCAGCUGACACAUCCCUGCCAAUCUCCAGCAGACCCUCUCUCCCAGACCCUCCCACCUCCUGGACAGCAUCCAUGUUGAAGCUGCCUUCAACAUGGAUGCUGUCCAGGAAGUAGGAGGGUCUGGGAGGGAGGGUCUGCCGGAGAUUGGCAGGGAUGUGUCAGCUG